rnacentral:rRNA from 1 species
UAGGUGAACCUGCGGAAAGAUCAUUAAAGAAAUUUAAUAAUUUUGAAAAUGGAUUUUUUUUUUUUUGUUUUGGCAAGAGCAUGAGAGCUUUUACUGGGCAAGAAGACAAGAGAUGGAGAGUCCAGCCGGGCCUGCGCUUAAGUGCGCGGUCUUGCUAGGCUUGUAAGUUUCUUUCUUGCUAUUCCAAACGGUGAGAGAUUUCUGUGCUUUUGUUAUAGGACAAUUAAAACCGUUUCAAUACAACACACUGUGGAGUUUUCAUAUCUUUGCAACUUUUUCUUUGGGCAUUCGAGCAAUCGGGGCCCAGAGGUUAACAAACACAAACAAUUUUAUCUAUUCAUUAAAUUUUUGUCAAAAACAAGAAUUUUCGUAACUGGAAAUUUUAAAAUAUUAAAAACUUUCAACAACGGAUCUCUUGGUUCUCGCAUCGAUGAAGAACGCAGCGAAAUGCGAUACGUAAUGUGAAUUGCAGAAUUCCGUGAAUCAUCGAAUCUUUGAACGCACAUUGCGCCCCUUGGUAUUCCAGGGGGCAUGCCUGUUUGAGCGUCGUUUCCUUCUCAAACAUUCUGUUUGGUAGUGAGUGAUACUCUUUGGAGUUAACUUGAAAUUGCUGGCCUUUUCAUUGGAUGUUUUUUUUUCCAAAGAGAGGUUUCUCUGCGUGCUUGAGGUAUAAUGCAAGUACGGUCGUUUUAGGUUUUACCAACUGCGGCUAAUCUUUUUUAUACUGAGCGUAUUGGAACGUUAUCGAUAAGAAGAGAGCGUCUAGGCGAACAUGUUCUUAAAGUUUGACCUCAAAUCAGUAGGAGUACCCGCUGACUUAGCAUAUCAUAGCGAGAAAAGAAUCAUCGGGAUUGCUAGUACGGCGAGUGACAGGA